rnacentral:rRNA from 1 species
CCCUAUGGGGUGCACCAACACAACUUUAACACCAAGCUCACGAAUCUUUGCCGCCAUUUCCGAGGUUACCCGGGUUUCGGUUGAAUAAAUGACCUGGCCUGUUUCCGGGUCGGUGAUAUCCUGGCGCAGUAAGUGAUCCACCAGAUUCGGGUCAUCGCCAUUCAUAGAGCGGUAAACCUUCCGGUAAGGUGUUUCAAUAAACCCGUAUUCGUUGACGGUAGCAUAAGCUGCCAGCCGGCCAAUCAAGCCAAUAUUUGGACCUUCAGGAGUCUCAAUUGGGCAGAUGCGGCCAUAAUGCGAGAAGUGCACAUCCCGGACGUCAAAGCCUGCCCGUUCGCGGCGUAAACCGCCAGGACCAAGAGCUGAAACGGUCCGCUUGUGACGCAGUUCGCUCAAAGGAUUGGUCUCUUCCAUGAAUUGGGAGAGC